GCGUUGUUGGUGCAGUGGUAGCAUGCCUCAUUUGGGUUGAGGUGGUCCUCAGUUCGAUCCUGGGACGACGCC
rnacentral:tRNA from 1 species